rnacentral:rRNA from 1 species
CCCUUAGAUGUUCUGGGCUGCACACGUGCUACACUGGCAGGUUCAGCGAGCUUCAUGCCCUGAUCUGAAAGGAAUGGGAAAUCUUUUCAAAACCUGCCGUGCUUGGGAUAGAUGUUUGCAAUUAUUCAUCUUCAACGAGGAUUGCCUUGUAAGCGCACGUCAUCAGCGUGCAUUGAAUACGACCCUGUAUUCUGUACACACCGCCCGUCGCUCCUACCGAUUGAAGUUUUCGGUGAGUUGACAGGAGGAUUUUUUGGAAACUGGUUCGCCAGUGGAUUUUAGAUCCAAAUGCCAACGAAUCGAUGGCUUUAGAGGAAGGAGAAGUCGUAACA